CUAGUGGGCUGGUUCGGUUUGGACUGCCAAUUUAAAUGGAUCAAUCCCAUCAUCCGUCCCUGUCGCCCUUAUCCUCUCGUCAACAGCGGCGGCCGCGGCGCCGCAGCAGCUGGCGGGGCCUCGACGGUCUGCGCUGGACCAGGGAGCUCACCGUCAUCGCUGGACCAGGGAGAUCGCCGUCGUCGUGCUCCCACCCGUCUGUCCGUGGAUCCGCUAGGUCUUUCACACGGUGUUACUAGCAAAGGAUCGCCCACAAAAAGCAUCAAUAUAAUCGGAGCUUGAAGCAGACGCCUGAAAGCUCUGAUGAAGCUUUAUACGAACUGGAGAACUGGAAGCGCUUUUGUAGUCUGGUGAUAUGGUGGUCUUUGUUAGCUCAUACUGUUGUUUGCAAGUGUCUGUAAAUUAAAACUUGUAAACUCCUGGGAACAACCCUUGUUGGUGGAUC